rnacentral:rRNA from 1 species
CAAGUCUGAUGGAGCACGCCGCGUGAGUUGAAGAAGGCUUUCGGGUCGUAAAACUCUGUUGUUGGAGAAGAAUGGUCGGCAGAGUAACUGUUGCCGGCGUGACGGUAUCCAACCAGAAAGCCACGGCUAACUACGUGCCAGCAGCCGCGGUAAUACGUAGGUGGCAAGCGUUAUCCGGAUUUAUUGGGCGUAAAGCGAGCGCAGGCGGUUUUUUAAGUCUGAUGUGAAAGCCCUCGGCUUAACCGAGGAAGCGCAUCGGAAACUGGGAAACUUGAGUGCAGAAGAGGACAGUGGAACUCCAUGUGUAGCGGUGAAAUC